GCAAGUCGAACGAGAACGGGUCUUAGCUUGCUAAGAUUGUCAGCUCAGUGGCGCACGGAAGAGUAAUAUAUCGGUAACGUGCCUUCAAGAAGGGGAUAACAAUUGGAAACGAUUGCUAAUACCCUAUAUGCCUUUAAGUCUUAAGACUGCAAGGGAAAUAUUUAUAGCUUGAAGAUCGGCCUGUACAGUAUCAGUUAGUUGGUGAGGUAAUGGCUCACCAAGACAAUGACGCUUAACUGGUUUGAGAGGAUGAUC
rnacentral:rRNA from 1 species